rnacentral:ncRNA from 2 species
AAAGUAUUACUCUCGGUCGGUUCUAAUGGGGAGCAGCCAUUGGAGGUAACGGGGAAAGUUCGGUGUAAAUCCGGCGCUGUCCCGCAACUGUGAAGAAAUGAGUCCUUGUUUCUAAGUCAGAAUGCCCACCGACAGAUAACUUUUCGA